AGUCUCUGCGGAAUCCAUCGGCUCNACCGAUGGGCGUUCAGGAGAUACUGGCAACCUAGGGACCGGGAGAGGUGAGAGGUACUCCAGGGGUAGGAGUGAAAUCCUGUAAUCCUUGGGGGACCACCUGUGGCGAAGGCGUCUCACUAGAACGGCUCCGACAGUGAGGGACGAAAGCUGGGGGAGCAAACCGGAUUAGAUACCCGGGUAGUCCCAGCUGUAAACGAUGCGCGUUAGGUGUAUCGGUGACCACGAGUCACCGAGGUGCCGAAGAGAAAUCGUGAAACGUGCCGCCUGGGAAGUACGGUCGCAAGGCUGAAACUUAAAGGAAUUGGCGGGGGAGCACCACAACAGGUGGAGCCUGCGGUUUAAUCGGACUCAACGCCGGGAAGCUCACCGGAUAAGACAGCUGAAUGAUAGCCGGGUUGAAGACUCUGCUUGACUAGCUGAGAGGAGGUGCAUGGCCGUCGUCAGUUCGUACUGUGAAGCAUCCUGUUAAGUCAGGCAACGAGCGAGACCCACGCCAACAGUUGCCAGCAUGUCCUCCGGGAUGGUGGGGACACUGUUGGGACCGCCUCUGCUAAAGAGGAGGAAGGAAUGGGCAACGGUAGGUCAGCAUGCCCCGAAUUAUCCGGGCUACACGCGGGCUACAAUGGUCAGGACAAUGGGUAUCAACACCGAAAGGUGAAGGCAAUCUCCUAAACCUGUCCUUAGUUCGGAUUGGGGGCUGCAACUCGCCCACAUGAAGCUGGAAUCUGUAGUAAUCGCUUCUCAAAUUGGCCCGAUGAUUAUGUCCCUGCCUCCUUCAC
rnacentral:rRNA from 1 species